AGGGACAGCCGUGGGAGGGACACCCAGAGCAGGGGCUGGUGGGGACGCUCCACUGCCUGUGGGACCCAUCCUGUCUCCCUCAGCACCACGGUCCCUGUGGCGUGCUGGGCACUCUGCCAGGGCUGUGCCCAAGCCAAAAGGGUGCCAGGGACACGGCAGGACCUGCCCCACGUGCCCUGGAGCAGCAGCUCCCCCGAGCCACCCUGUUCCACCCCAGCUGCACCCACUGUGGGACUGGAGAGCAGCUCCCUGCUCCCAAACCCUGCUCCCAAACCCUGCUCCCAAACCCUGAUCCCAAACUCUGCUCCAAGGUUGCCUCAGAUCUGCUCUGACCGGAGCCCCAACCCAGGGCAAGAUGCAGAGUGGAGCUUGGCCUCACCUCCUCCCUCUCAGUCUCAUUCCCUGGUCCCAGUGCCAUUCCCAGCUUGCUGCCACUGCCCAGCCCUGUGGUGCUUAAACCAAAGCUGCAGCAGGAGCUGCCAAAAUCCUACCUCUGCUGUCACCAGGAAAACGGGCUGGGGCUCACAAGUGUCCCCAGGGGGGCCCUCAUCCCUCUGCAGUGCUGCUGCAGGGACACAGGGAAGUGCAGGGUCGGGAGCAGGGACAGCAGCCUCUGUGCUGAGUCACCGGGCUGACAUUCCUUCAGCUUUCCCUUGGGGUUUGACCACCUGCUACUGGUGUUGGCUGGAGCAGUCCUGGAGAAAAGCCUGUGUUCCCUGAUGGGAAAAGGACACAUCCUGGUGGGACGGUGUUCCUGGCUCGGGCUCAGAAGGUGGAUCCUCUCACUGUCCCCCACUGAUGGCCCUUCUCCCUCUCGCCCUCUUGGCUUCUCCAGGGGAAAAGGGUUUCUGGGGGUCUGGCAGGCAUUUGGCUGCUUUCCCCCAAACCACCUUGCCAGCAUUCCCAGAGAUCCACUGGAUUUGUUUCCCAUUUCCCCCUCCAGGGCAGUUCUGUGGUUCAGCUCAGCCAUGUGCCCAGCUGCCUGUGGCACUCCUCACCCACCCCACGCUCCCGGCGUCCCUCCUGCCGUCCCCAUUUCCACGUGCCAGAUCCCUGGGAAGCAGCAGGGCCUCGGGCUCCAGCCCUUGGGCUGAGGUCAGAGGAUUUCUGGCUUUUCAGGCAGUGAACUGAGCAGGGACUGCCCGGGCACGGCACAGGAGGGUGGGAAAGGGGAGCCCCCCAGCCAGCUGGGAAGGCAGGAGGGGGAUCUGGUGCGAGAUUCAGCCCAUAUCCAAAGGGGGGCAGUCGGAGGGGCCAGCACAGCUCGUAAUAAACCUGGAUUUAGGGUGGCUCAGUUGCCGGCAGCUGACUCCUCUAUAAUUAGACGGCAGCGGGGGAACGGGAGCCAGCGCAGGGUGCAGAGCUCCAACAUCUUCCCAUCCACAGUCAAGUCGCUCCACAUGACCCCUGGAUGCUCCAAACAGCCAGGGGAGGGGUGAGCUGUGUCUCCUGAUGAACAGGACAUGAGGAAUAAAACCCACUGCAAAGUGCUGCCUCUCCUGCAGGCCCUCGGGGCUGCUCUGAGGAGCAGACACGGCUCCAGAGGAGGAAUCGUGUUGGGAUGUGGGGCUGGAUGGCUUGGCAGCGUCUUGUCCCACUUCACCCACCACCAGCCACACUACCAGGAGGCUGGAAGGGGCUGCAGCCCUGCCUGGUUUGGGAGCUGCAGGCUGGGAGCCCCCACGUGCCCAGUGCUCCUUGUCUGUGGCUCCCGAGCCGUGUCCCGGCUCCUGCGGGACCUCGGGAGCUCCGCGGCCUCCUGCCGAGGUCCCGCAGCCCCGGGCUGUGCCCCACCACCCCUCUUCCCACCUCUGCCAACGGCCCACGGGGGCUGAGAGGGGAGGGAAAAGGGAUGGCUGGCAACCACGUGGGAGGCUCCAGGCUUUUGUCUCGGGCCGUGGUUUCCAACAGAUGUGGAGUGAGCAGCGUCUGUAAGGCAGCGGCUCAGCAUCGCCGCUCCCGGAUUAAAGGGUUUAACAACCUGCUGGCAAGAUGGAACUGAAAAAGGCAGAGUCUGCCUGGACUGCACUCCACUGCUGCCCAGGGACAUUCCCACGCUCCCGAGACCCCUCCAAACCCUCGGGCAAGCAGAAUGAAUGCCCAGUGUGUGUGUGUGGGGCAGGCCCUGCUCUCCGUGGAUCCAGGGACUAACACCUCAUCUUCCUUCAAGGGUAACUAUUGAUUUAUCAUUAACAACCUGCCAGGAGCCCCUCAGUCAGCAGGGGCUGCUCCGGAAGGAAUCAGGGGUUGGAACUGGCACUGCCUCCUUGCCAGGAAUGUGGGGGUGUUGCACUUGGGGAUGUGGGUGAGUGGUGGCCUCAGCAGUGCUGGGGGAACUGUUGGACUCGAUGGUCCCCGAGGGCUUUUCUAAUGCCAAUGGUUCUUGGUUCUGUGAUUCCCUGAUUCCAGGUGGGAGUCCCUGGCUGCCGGGGGAGCGGAGCUGCCCUUGCCAGAGGUCAGAGCCUCACCCAGCAGUGGUGAGGAGUCGGCAGUCGCCACCUCUGAGCCCCUUGUUCCACCGUGGCUCCGCUCCCCGAUUCCCAAGCGCAGGAAACGAGGCUGUGACUGGCUCUGCAAAGCACUGACAACAAUGCCGGGCUUCUUCCCCCCUCAGCAGCACGGGAUCCUGACCCAGCACGAGCAGGCGGUGCCACGGCUGGAGGGCAGGAGUUUUUGGCAGCAGGCAGAGGGGCUGAACCUCUCGCAGGGGUUGGCUGUCCUGGAUGGGGCAGAGGCACGGGAACACCGAGGUCUGCAGGGAUUCCAGCUGGGAAAGGAGCCCCUGCGAGCUCAGGGCCGAGCUCUGUCCUGGUGCACCGGGCAGCGGCGAGGGCAGGGGGCUCCUGGGAUGGAUCCAGGCACUGCCACGUCAGAGGCCAGGCCGAGGUGACUGUGCAGAAAUAAGAGCCACGUCCAGCACAUGGAGCCACCUGGCAAAGGCUCUGCAGGCCCUCUGUGUCCUCCCUGUCACCCGAAGCACUGACCGAGUCCUUUGCUCCCAGCGGAGCGGCUGGAACAGAAAUCAGAGUGGGGAUCCCCAUUCCAGGGACAGGGAGCUGCCUUUCUUGUUCCUCCCGUGCUCUGUCUGUCCACCCACCUGGGAGAGGCAGGGAGGUGAGAUCCCAGGUGGUGAGAGCUGGAUCCUGCUGGCAGUGGCACUGGAGCUGCUCCAAACCCCAUCCUCUCCUGCCACGCCCAAAUGGCCUUAUCAGGAGCUGCUCCCUGGGGCUGUGAGGAGCAGCUGGAGGCAGGAUGUUGCCUGGAAGCCUGGUGAGAACCAACAUCAUGUUUGGAAAAGAGAAGAGCAGUGUGGGAGACCCCUCUUUGCGUCGCUGUCACUUCCCCUCCUCAGGAAUUCAACUUUCUGGCAAAGCUUCUUUCUUACAUUGGGUUUUCUAAGGUGUCUCGAAAAAUUUACCAGAGCUGGGGGGGCUCAGCCUGGAGCAAAGGAGGCUCAGGGGGGACCUUCUGGCUCUGCAACCCCCUGACAGGAGGGGGGAGCUGGGGGGAGUCGGGCUCUGCUGCCAGGGAACAAGGGACAGGAGGAGAGGGAACGGCCUCCAGCUGUGCCAGGGGAGGCUCAGGUGGGACAGGAGGAGGAAUUUCCUGCUGGAAAGGGUGGUCAGGCACUGGCAGGGGCUGCCCAGGGAGGUUUGGAGUGCCCAGCCCUGGAGGUGUCCCAGGAAGGCCUGGCCGUGGCACUCAGUGCUCUGGGCUGGGGACAAGGUGGGGAUGGGGCACAGGGGGGAUCCAUGGGCUGGGAGGGCUUUUCCCAGCUGGAUGAUUCUGUGAUUCUGUGUAUUUGAGUUCUCCUGCCUCCAUGAUGACAAGAGUGAAAUAAAACAGGCAGCUGGGCCCUGCCUGUGGCCGGAGGGGUGGCUGGAGUUCAGAGCUCCUGCCCAGAGCUCAGCCCACGCUGUGGGACCCCUGCUAAGAGGACAACGUCCUGUGGCAGCAGGUGGAGCAAAUCCAACCCCUUUUCUAUUCCUCCUCACACAACUCCCCGAGCACCUGGGGCCGUUUAACAGCUCCACUGGGGCUCUUGUCCCCACACAAGUUUGGGGUUCCACCCAUUCCCUGAGUGGUGUGAGCUGGAGGUGUCCAGGGGCUGGGACAGCCUGUGCUCCGUGGGAGCUCGUCCCUCGAGGUGAGCAACCAGGAGCAGUGGGCCCAGAACCUCCUCACACGGCCUGACCUGUGCCUGGGCCCGGCAGCAGAGCCCCUGGUCCUGCCUUGGCUGGGGGAGGAGCUGGAGAACACAAAGUGGAUUGUUCAGGGCGGCUCCAGGGUGACAAAGGCUCUUCCAUCCCUGCACACGCCACGGGCUGGGCCCUGCUCUGAGAGGGUUUGAGUAACCAGCAAGCCCAGUGUGAGUAACAGCUCUCCCCAGUGAACCUCCCCCGCCCCAAACCCUGUUGCACAACUCGCAGUGAUUCACUGUUCCCGUCCCCAGGGCAGAUCCGGAGGGCACACACAGGACACAGUCUCCAGCCCUGGGUGUUGCAACUCCCAGUGCUCAGCUGUCCCUGGCAAGCCCAGGAAGAGGGAAGAGCCUGCUGGGUCCUGCUGGCUCUCCCCUUCCACCCCAUUCCUAAUUUCCCCCAGUCACAGCACAUCAGUGCCCCACUGGGAUCAGACAGAAGACCCUGGGGAGGGUGUGGUGUGGAGAAAUGUGAGAGCUGUUCCACCUCUCCCAGGACACCCCCAAACAUAGCAGCAGUGCAAGGAUGGUCUCCUGAGGGAGCAACCAAGAGCAAAGGUGUCCUUGUCCUUGGGGGGGUGUCUCCUGCGGGAUCAUUUCCCUCAGGGAAUAACAUUUAACAAUUUAAAAUCGGGGCCAGCCUUAGAUGACAGACAGAAAAUAUUCCAUCUUGUUCGCAGAGGGAUAAGUGAGGAUCUCAGGGAGAAUUUCUUUAUGGAAAGAGUGGUCAGGCACUGAAGUCCCCAUCCCUGGAGGUGUCCCAGGAAGGCCUGGCUGUGGCACUCAGUGCUCUGGGCUGGGUGACAAAGUGGGAAUUGGGCACAGGGGGGACUCCCUGGGCUGGGAGGGUUUUUCCCACCUCAGUGACUCCAUGACUCUGUGUGGUACCACUUCCUCUCCAGGACCCUAAAGAUGAACUUCUUUGAAGCGCUGGAGGCCAUGGACAAGCUCUCUAGGACAAAAGGCUGCUGUAACAUCCAUGCAAACAUCUACUGCUCAUAAACCUUUCGGGAGUGACUGGGAGCCGCCGGCUCGUGGGUCCCCAGCUGGGAUCCGUGGCAGUGCCUGUGCCACGGAGCUCUCCAUGGACACUGGAGCUCCCCCCUGUCUGCUCAGUGACAGAGAGGAAGCGUCUGUACAGUGCCCUCACACUGAUCCAGCAAAGUGCUAAAAAUAAACCUUCUCUGUGAAGCCGCAAA